GAAUAUUCCAACCCAGAGAGAGGGACUGGAUUGUGGUCUGUUCAUGCUGAUGUAUGCACUCUAUAUAGCCCUGGACUGGACAUUUGACUUUAGCCAGGAUGACAUCCCUCAGCUCCGAAGGUGGUGGUGUAGUUUGCUCUUGCAAAACCUGUCACAUCCAAGGU